AUUUCUCGCCGGCCGACUACUGAUCGCUGCUUCGCCCGAGAACUGAGGACACGGAUUGGAAGAAGGGGGUCGUGUCAGGACGGAAGCGUGGCGUGGGGAGAAGACAGGAGGGUCGGGCGUGUGCAGCUCUGCGUGGACAAGAGCGUGUGAGCUGCACUGGUGCCUAUGCGCCCGGAGGACGCGAAGGAUGCGAUCUGGGUGCUCUACUGUGCCUUCACGUCCUGACAUUCUAUCUUCUACUUGCUCCAUUCUCCUAAGGAAGGUUUUUCAUUGAGUCUUCUCAAUGUGCGCUAGGAUCACAAGAGAGCCACUGCGAUGAAAAUGAGAACGCAGCCACUGGACUGAGUGAUGCCCUUGCAUGUACAGAAAACUUGCUACAUCCCUUCAGCUUGCUAAGCCUUCCCGGAGGCCUUGAAGGAAGGACAAAGAGACCACAGUGCAGUUUGGUCUCUACCAAAAUGCCACGGGUGACCUUGCAAUACUCCCCAAGGGGUCCUCCCCUUCUUUACAUAACAGCCAUUUAAACUCAGCCUGUGGGUCUAGAAUAGCCUUUAAAACAUAUGUCACCGGGCAGAGCUGUUCUGGCUAGGUUCUGCUCUGGUCUGGUUCUCUCCACCAAGACUGGAGUCCUCACACAGUAAAAGCUGCUGCUGCCUGAAGGCGCCCCUUGUCCAGAACUGUGAGUGUCUCUAACAAGUGGAAUAAUCAGGUUUCCAAUUUUAUCUCCAUUUCAUCCUGCGUUUCCUUCAGUGUUUAUACGUCUUUACUGAGUGCACCUCUGAAACCCCCUUCACAUCUUUGCUUCUGUUUAUCAUUUUUCUUUUAAAUCCUAUGUCCUGUGAUUCAUUGAGGCAAUUCUCACUGUAGAACAUUUCCACAUCACGGCCACAUACUGUUUGGUUCUUUGUUUUAGUUUGCCCUCUAUUGCUGUGAUAAAGUCCGAGGACAAAAGCAGCUUGUGGAGGAAAGGGUUAAUCAGCUU
rnacentral:lncRNA from 1 species